rnacentral:rRNA from 1 species
AACGUAGGAGGCGAGCGUUAUCCGGAUUCACUGGGCGUAAAGCGCGUGCAGGCGGUUCGGUAAGUUGGGUAUGAAAUCUCCUGGCUUAACUAGGAGAGGUUAUCCAAUACUACCGGACUAGAGAGUGGUAGAGGAAGAUGGAAUUCCAGGUGUAGUGGUGAAAUGCGUAGAUAUCUGGAGGAACACCAGUGGCGAAAGCGAUCUUCUGGACCAUUUCUGACGCUCAGACGCGAAAGCUAGGGUAGUAAACGGG